UCAGUACUCCCUCCGUCCCAAAAUUCUUGUCUUAGCUUUGUCUUGAAAUGGAUGUAUCUAAAUAAUAAAACUUGACUAGAUACAUUCAUAUUUAAACAAAUCUAAGACAAGCAUUUUGGGACGGAGGGAGU
rnacentral:pre_miRNA from 1 species